rnacentral:rRNA from 1 species
GAUGAACGCGGGCGGCGUGCCUAAUACAUGCAAGUAGAACGCUGAAGGAGGAGCUUGCUCUUCUGGAUGAGUUGCGAACGGGUGAGUAACGCGUAGGUAACCUGCCUGGUAGCGGGGGAUAACUAUUGGAAACGAUAGCUAAUACCGCAUGACAACAGUUAUUGCAUGAUAACUGUUUAAAAGGGGCAACUGCUCCACUACCAGAUGGACCUGCGUUGUAUUAGCUAGUUGGUGAGGUAACGGCUCACCAAGGCGACGAUACAUAGCCGACCUGAGAGGGUGAUCGGCCACACUGGGACUGAGACACGGCCCAGACUCCUACGGGAGGCAGCAGUAGGGAAUCUUCGGCAAUGGACGGAAGUCUGACCGAGCAACGCCGCGUGAGUGAAGAAGGUUUUCGGAUCGUAAAGCUCUGUUGUAAGAGAAGAACGAGUGUGAGAGUGGAAAGUUCACACUGUGACGGUAUCUUACCAGAAAGGGACGGCUAACUACGUG